rnacentral:rRNA from 1 species
UGGGGAAUAUUGCACAAUGGACGGAAGUUUGAUGCAGCGACGCCGCGUGGAGGGUGUAGGCCUUCGGGUUGUGAACUCCUUUUUCUCGCGAAAAAGGCACAGUUUUGGCUGUGUUGAUGGUAGUGGGGGAAGAAGCGCCGGCUAACUACGUGCCAGCAGCCGCGGUAAUACGUAGGGCGCGAGCGUUGUCCGGAUUUAUUGGGCGUAAAGGGUACGUAGGCGGUUUAAUAAGUCCUAAUUAAAAGGCUAUGGCUCAACCAUAGUAUGGUUAGGAAACUGUUGAACUUGAGUAGAUGAGGGGAAAGUGGAAUUCCAUGUGUAGCGGUGAAAUGCGUAGAUAUAUGGAGGAACACCAAUGGCGAAGGCAACUUUCUGGAAUCAAACUGACGCCGAGGUACGAAGGCGUGGGGAGCAAACAGG